UCGCCAAGUGUAGUCCAGCUAGCGUGUGUAAAGGAUAGAUCGAUGCGUAGAAAAUACGAUCAGUUGCAUACAGACGAUCGCGCACGCCGGUUGGAAUUCGCUUCACUCAAAAAGUUGAUUUGUCAACAUGGAAGAUCAGGCGCAAGAAAAUGCCAACGCUGCGACAUAUUUAUUUAAUUCUAUCGUCUAGGUUGUUAGUAUUUCGGCUACUUCUCAAAACCUAAAGCGCCUAGCAACAAAAAGAAAGGCCGAUAAUGGAAUGUUGAGAGCCCCGACAACAAUAAGGUUAAUGCCACCUACUGCCACCCUUUCUAGCGAUCUUUGCCGACCAUAUAAUGACACUUCGCUCUCCAUCUCUCUUCUUCCUUGUCUAUCUGUCUCGCUCUGCGCAUAUACAGCAGCUUAAGAAAUAUAUACAAAUCUUCGACAAUGGCCAACAACGAAAAAUGUCAUCGACCCGCGUCGAUGGAGCGGCGAAGCAAUGGAGCAAUCGGCCAAGCGAAAGAGUCACAUGGUAGAUGGGAUAAAAUUAUAAUAAAUUUAAGGUACAAUAACCCACCGACAAGCAGUAGUGACCCCGGAUUUUUGUGAUAAAUGUAGUAUUUACAAUUAUAUUAUAUAAAAUAAAACCUGAGGUUACUUUGAUUAGAGAGAAUACUGCAAAUAGGAUAGCGAGUAAGAUAGGCAUGCAUAAGUGCCUUAUAACUUCUUAAUUACAAUGGCUUGAUAGCUUUGGUCACUGAUCAAAAAUAUACACAACGUAGCUUUUACAUAGUACAUAGCUUUCAACGAAUGGAAUGAAGCUGCACAGAAAAAACUAAAUUGUACUUGAUUAAAGUAAGUGCGUACUAAUUCAACAAGAUCUGAGCUUAAGGUGACUAUUAAGUCUCAUAAAUUUUGUACUCAAACAAACCAUCACAUCAGAGAUGUUAAAGUGCACUGAAUGCUUGGUAACUUAAUAAACGGUGUAGUGUGUUCCAGGAACCAAUUCUAAUAAAUCAAAAUACUAAAAUAUAUU